GUUUAACCUUUCACCCGCUGAAGGACAUUUCCAUUUUUUCCAGUUUUUGUCUAUUGCAAAUAAAGCUUCUACAAACAUUUCUAUACAUGUUUUUGUCUGAACAUGAGUAUUAAUUGUAUAAGAGUGCUGGGUGGUAUGGUAAGUGUAUUUUUGGCUUUAAAAAAACUGCCAAACUAUUUUCCAUGGUGACUGUAUCAUUGUACAUUCCCACAAGCAAUAAUGAGUAAUCAUCACUAUGUAAUUAAUGGACAACAACAUUUAGGAAAGAUUUGAAUUUUACAGUAAAAUUUUAAAAUGUGCCUUAGUAUUAUUAAAGAAUUGUGUUUUUAUUUUUAAUUUCAACUGGUUGAUGCACUAGUGUGAAUGCUUUUUAUGAUUUUUAAAAUGAUUUUUUGCAACAUUAACUUUUAUAAUAUGAAACAUAAUUAGGACAAUGAAAUAAGAAGUGUUAUCUAUCCCAACAGAUUACAGUGAUCAUCUUCUUUGUGUUUCUCUCCCCGCCCCUCACCAUUCCUUUUUUUGUCUUGCUUUUCAUUGGGCACACAUGAAUUUUGGAGAAACCUUUCUAUAGGAUAUGUAAUUCUUUCCAACUUCUCUAAGUUUCCAAGACAUAUUCUUCUACCACUCUCAAAGAUUUUGAUUCUUAAAAGAAAUUAAAGCUAAAAUUUUUUUUAUUACACAUUAAGUUCUGGGAUACAUGUGCAGAAUGUGCAUGUUUGUUUCAUAAGUACACACGUGUCAUGGUGGUUUGCUGGACCCAUCAACCUGUCACCUACAUUAGGUAUUUCUCCUAAUGCUAUCCCUCCCCUAGCCCCCAAACCCCCAACAGGCCCUGGUGUGUGAUGCCCCCUCCUUGUGUCCAUAUGUUCUUAUUGUUCAACUCCCACUUAUGAGUGAAAACAUGCAGUGUUUGGUUUACUGUUCCUGUGUUAGUUUGCUGAGAAUGAUGGUUUCCAGCUUCAUCCAUAUCCUUGCAAAGGACAUGAACUCAUCCUAUUUUGUGGCUGCAUAGUAUUGCAUGGUGUAUAUGUGCCACUUUUCCUUAUCCAGUCUAUCAUUGAUGGACAUUUGGGUUGGUUCCAAGUCUUUGCUAUUGUGAAUAGUGCUGCAAUAAACAUACAUGUGCAUGUGUCUUUAUAGUAGAAUGAUUUAUAAUCCUUUGGGUAUAGACCCAGUAAUGGAAUUGCUGGGUCAAAUGUUAUUUCUGGUUCUAGAUCCAAAGUUUCAUUUAAUUAACAAUUACAGCAAUUUUC
rnacentral:lncRNA from 10 species